CACUUCUUUCCUUUGGGACGGUUUCGAAUAUUACAACGUUUAGGGAUUGUAAUAGCAAUGCCCGGAUUUAUUCCCGCUUGCUUAGCCAACGGCGAUAAAAGAAUGGCGCAAAGGCAUUUUGGCGAACUAUUAAACAUCGCCCCCACUUUGCUGCAGCACGCCCCCGUAACCUUUGCUUUUACAUCCCUCACCGCCCCCAGGCACGGCGUCAGCCCCAUCGCCGCCGAUUCUAUGGGCGUCUUCCCACAUUCCCCGGC
rnacentral:lncRNA from 1 species